rnacentral:lncRNA from 1 species
AUGACAGGGGCGCCGUGGGAUCAGCCCCCCAGGAGAAGGAGGCAGGACCAGGCAGCAGAUGCAGAGCCACAGUGGGGGCCCGGCCCCAGGACGGCCAGGCCUCUGUACCAGCGCUGGCCCGUCUGUGGAUGUGGGCUGCCCUCUGCGCAAGGUGCCUCUCCAGAGCUCAGGCGGGGCUUCAAGUUCCAGCCCAUGCUGAUCCGGUGUGAGGAGUGCAAGCCUCGGGAGACCAAGCGGCCCCUCAGCGGCGGCCCCUGGCCCUAUCUCGGGAAGGCUCCCCCGAAGCCACAGAACGUCUCACAUGACCAGCAUCCAGCGUCUCUUGACCUCUCCCCACAUGUGGCUCUGUGGUUGGCUUCUGGCUAACGGCAGUAAGUAGGUGGGCCGGGCACCACUUCCAGGACCACUCAGUAUAAAUCUCCCACGCAAGAGGUCUCUCUCCCUCUGUCCCUCCUCCUCCUUGUGCUCUCUCUCUCUCUCAGAUAAAUACAAUCUUUUUUUUUUUUUAAAGAUUUUAUUUAUUUAUUCAUGAAAGAGAGAGAGGCAGAGACACAGGCAGAGGGAGAAGCAGGCUCCAUGCAGGGAGCCCGACGUGGGACUCGAUCCCGGGACUCCAGGGCCAAAGGUAGGUGCUAAACCAUUGAGCCACCCAGGGAUCCCAUAUAAAUAAAAUCUUAAAAAAAACCCAACCAACCCACAAAGGUCAAGUUACCUGUCCAGGUAACCAUUCCUUCUUUGAUGUCUCACAAAUAACCCACACUCAUGGUCUACAACAUCAUCCUUCUUCCCAGAUCAGCUUCUUCCCUUGAAUUUUUUGAUCUCAGAGAAUGACUAGCCCCACCUGUACCCGGACAGCCAGGCCAGAGAGUUGGGAGUCACGGGGGACUCCUUCUCUCCCCCGACCUCACUGUUCUGUCUGUCACCACCUCUUGAGAAGGGUCUCCCCGCUAUCUCUCCUGUCCACGUCCCCGUCUCCCCCCCACUGUGAUUUCCCCUGAUUCGGGAUCGCUUAGGCCCAAACGCCAGCAUUUGCUUCUCAUCCACCCACUUCUGCGGUUGCCCCUUCCCAGAGUGGUCAGUGUCGCCUUCUAGCACCCAAGUCGGACCAUGCCCCAUGCUGUUCAGAAUUCCGAUGUGUCUCCACAUUAAGAUGAGACAAGGAGCAUCUCGAUUUGGCCCCCGCCCAGCCGUCCUGCCUCGACUCCUGCCACCUGCUGCAUCCACAGGGACAAGCUCAUAGAGCUCAACAGCUGGUGGUCACACCUUCCUCAUGCUCCUUCCGUUUCUCCGGGCAUUGCACACGCCUCUCCUUUGGCCCAGCAUUCCCUUGUCUGCCCUUCUCCCAACCCUCCAUGUGUUCCAGUCUCAGCCCAAAGCUCCCUCCCCUGAAGAUACCACUGUCCUGAGUUACAGCUGCUCUUUUGUCUCUACUUCAGUGCCUCUUGUCCAGGCCUGCGCUGUCAUUCUCCUGGUAGGGGAUCCCUAAGCUCCUGGGUGCUGGGCAGCUUCUUUGAAAUUUUGCAUACCUGGUGGCCAGUCUAGGGCAAAGCCCGGCGGAUGACCAAUAAAUGUGUGAAGGAACAAUGUUAAUAAGGAACAUUUUUCCCUGUCUGGGAGCUCCCGUCAAGCAAGGAGGAUGGACUUACAGACAAAUCCACCUUACAGUAGACUCCUGCUGGACGGAGGGCUCUGACCCUCUUGGAGAGUCUGGAGAGGAGGAGGAAUCAGGUGCAUUUCGCAUUCACAGCACCGCGCUGGAAAAAGAAAUCUGAGGCUUGGCCACUGAGCGUGAUGAGAACGUGUGGUUACUGAAGAGGCUGAUUCCACUGGGCUGGGAUAUCAUUCUUUUUUUUUUUUUUUUUAAGAUUUUAUUUAUUUAUUCAUGACAGACACAGACAUGGGCAGAGGGAGAAGCAGGCUCCCUGCGGGGAGCCCCAUGCAGGGCUGGAUCCCAGGACCCCGGGAUCACGACCUGAGCCAGAGGCAGAUGCUCAGCCACUGAGGCACCCUUCUCAAACGUUCCCAGAACAGCGUCACAAUUUAAGGAACGGUGUUUUGAAAAAUAAACAACCUGAAACCUGAACUUGUCUAAGAAAAGCCCCUGUUCACCCAACAGCCUGCGUGAUGGCAGCCGGGAAAGGUGAGCACAGCCCUGAGAACAAAUUGUAUCCGGUAAGCGGGCGGCUGGAGGGGCAAGAAAGAGCCGGGCUCGGUCCCAUCUGUGCAGAGGUGACCGGCCCGUUAAAGGGACGAUGUGUGCAGGUGGGGAGCUCAGGGGAGCACCGACCACAGGUUGGUCCCUAGAAACGCGGUCGGGCCCCUAUGCCCGCUGGCUGGCGACUACAGAAGCCUGGAUUGGGAUCCCUGGGUGGCUCAGCGGUUUGGCGCCUGCCUUUGGCCCGGGGCGCGAUCCUGGGGUCCUGGGAUCGAGUCCCGUGUCGGGCUCCCGGCGUGGAGCCUGCUUCUCCCUCCUCCUGUGUCUCUGCUUCUGUCUCCAUCAUGAAUAAAUAAAUUAAAAAAAAAAAUUAGAAGCCAGGAUGGCAGCCUCCCGCGGAGAGGUGGGGACAGGCCCGGGCUCUCGGCUCUCAGUCCGGGAAAGGCGUUUCUGCAGGAGAUACGCGCCUCAGAGCACAGAGGAGGGACCCCUAACGCCGCAGCCCCCCGCCCCCCCCCCCCAGGGCGAGCUCUGGAAGGUGGGGGCCCAGCCUCAGCCGAGGCCCGGAGGGUGUUUAUGGCAGGUGGGGUGCGGGGCACUGGGGGGCACUGCGGAGGGGCUGAGGUCGUCCCCCCAGGGGCCGGAAGUCACGCCGCCCUCGGGGCUUGUCUUUUUUUUUUUUUUUUUUUUUUAAGAUUUUAUUAUGAGAGACACAGACACAGGCCGAGGGAGAAGCAGGCUCCCUGCAGGGAGCCCGACGCGGGACCGAUCCCAGGUCUCCAGGGUCACGCCCUGGGCCACAGCUAGGCGCUCAGCCGCUGGGCCACCUGGGCACCCGGGCUGCCCUCGGGGCUUGUCUCUCCGCAGACGCUUCCACCCGGGGCGCGAGAACGCUGCGUCCGUCCAGCAAGCAGCUCCUGCCUUGUAAAGCCUCCGGGUCCGCCGCCCGCCGGCCGCUUCCCGGGCUGGGUCCCGAGCGCCCCAUCCGGGCCCCGAGGCGGGGCGGCCUCCGCACCGGUUCUCGCGCGGGAGCAGGCGGCGGAGGGGCCGCGUUAGAAACGGGGUUAGGGCAGCCCCGGUGGCUCAGCGGUUAGCGCCGCCUGCAGCCCAGGGCGUGAUCCUGGAGCUCCGGGAUCGAGUCCCACGUCGGGCUCCCUGCGUGGAGCCUGCUUCUCCCUCUGCCUGUCUCUGCCUCUCAUUCUCUCUCUGUGUUUCUAUGAAUAAAUAAAAAUCUUUAAAAAAAAGAAAGAAAAAAGAAACGGGGUUAAGGGGGGGCCGGGGGAGGAGUAGGGGUAGGGGGGCGGGGCGGGGGGGGGGGGGGUGGGGGAGGGAGUGGGGGGCGGAGGGGCGGAGGGGAGAGCGAGUGGGAGGGCCGGGGACGGGGGGGGAGG